rnacentral:lncRNA from 1 species
UCCCGUAACAUCCUUUCUUAUACACAACCAUAUCUCAACCCUACUGCCUUCUUCAAUUUGAAUGUGAAUUCAAUCCUCUCAUACACUACUCUGUGUUUUCGUUUGUUGAUGAACAAUUUUUCUCUUUAGUUGCCUCCCCAUUUAUAUGAGAAUACAAUCCAAACACUCCUGCAACACAGAAAACAACUCAGUAUACUUAUUGAAGAGAAACAAUAUCAUUCAAUUUCACAAUGAAACUCCGA